AUGAUUUCCCUGUGGCUUUCUGUAAUAAUAAUGGCCAUGCCGCCCGGAACGAGCAGCCAAGAUUCAGUUUCCCCGGACUCACUUGAGCAAACAGUUCUGGAAGGAACUAACAUAAGCCUGAACUGCAGUUACCAAACAACAUAUACUGCUCCGACUCUCUUCUGGUACGUCCAGUACCCAGGGGAAGCUCCGAGAUAUUUAUUGAAGAGAUUCAACAAGGAACAGGGAGACGAGUCUCAAGAAUUAUCCAACAGGUUUUCUGCUUUUUUGGACAAAGAAAAGAAGAUAGUUACAUUAAAAAUAACAACGGUUUCUCUUUCUGACUCUGCUGUCUAUCACUGUGCACUGAGCUCCACACUGAUACAGAGGUUCAGUAUUAAAUGUGAACAUUUAGUGUCACAGUGGGUGCUUACACAGACACGGAUUCUUGGAGAUUUAGGUAGCAUUCAUUUCAGCUACUUUACAGCAAUUGAUUUAUAA